UACGUAGGGUGCGAGCGUUGUCCGGAAUUACUGGGCGUAAAGAGCUCGUAGGUGGUUUGUCGCGUUGUUCGUGAAAACUCACAGCUCAACUGUGGGCGUGCGGGCGAUACGGGCAGACUGGAGUACUGCAGGGGAGACUGGAAUUCCUGGUGUAGCGGUGGAAUGCGCAGAUAUCAGGAGGAACACCGGUGGCGAAGGCGGGUCUCUGGGCAGUAACUGACGCUGAGGAGCGAAAGCGUGGGGAACGAACAGG
rnacentral:rRNA from 1 species